AUUGAACGCUGGCGGCAGGCUUAACACAUGCAAGUCGAGCGAGCGGCGGACGGGUGAGUAAUGUCUGGGAAACUGCCUGAUGGAGGGGGAUAACUACUGGAAACGGUAGCUACUACCGCAUACCAUCAGAUGUGCCCAGAUGGGAUUAGCUAGUAGGUGGGGUAAUGGCUCACCUAGGCGACGAUCCCUAGCUGGUCUGAGAGGUUGACCAGCAAAACUGGAACUGAGAAACGGUCCAGACUCCAACGGGAGGCAGCAGGGGGGAAUAUUGCCCAAUGGGCGCAAUCGUGAUGCAGCCAUGCCGCGUGUGUGAAGAAGGCUUUCGGGUUGUAAAGCACUUUAAGCGAGGAGGCGUUACUCGCAGAAGAAGCACCGGUUAACUCCGUGCCAGCAGCCGCGGUAAUC
rnacentral:rRNA from 1 species